rfam:Mesocricetus auratus contig134753, whole genome shotgun sequence.
UGUUGCUCACUUCAGCCGCACAUAUUACUAAAAUUGAAAUGAUGCAGAGAAGAUUAGCAUGGCCCCUGUACAAGAAUGACAUGCAAAUUCAUGAAUUAUUGCAUAGUUUU